rfam:Acetobacteraceae bacterium SCN 69-10 ABS99_C0065, whole genome shotgun sequence.
CGCUGGGCCACGCUCCCCCACCGGAGCGCUUCUCUUCUGAAAGGGAGAGCCAA